CUAACAAAAUGCAAUGGAUGUUAACCUUAAAUGUCUGUAUAUUUUGAUACAAUCACUUUACAAGGACUGCCAAUCUCCAUAUUUGGGUCGCGUUACACAUUUACUUUUGUGUUGAUUCCAUUUUAUUCUUUAGGGUUUCUACUAGAGAAGCAAGAAUCAUUAGAGACAUUCUCUCUUGCUACUUAGUUGUUAGUGGUCAAACUGUCAAUUUGAGUAAAUUUGCUAUUGUUUUCAAUUCCAAUACUCCAUAUCAAGAGAACCAGCAAAUUGCAAACUUUCUUCAAGUUCAAAACAUUGAUGUACAAGAUAGAUUUCUUGGUUUGGUCUUCCUACCAAGAUUCCAUGUUCUAAACAACAAGCUUUUGAUUUUAUCUAAGAUAGGGUGGCUCAGAAAACUCAAGGCUGGAAAGAAAAACUUUUGUCUAAGGGAGGUAAAGAGACUGUCAUCAAAAUAAUAUCCUCAACCAUGCCUGCGUAUGCCAUGUCUUGUUUUAAAUUUCUAGCUUCUCUUUGUUACAAAAUGAACAGUUUGGUGGCAAAUUUCUGGUAGAGUCAAUAGCAAGAGGAGAGAAAACUGCAUUGGGUUGCUUGGGACCAUCUGUGUGAUUCUAAGAAGAGUGACCUUGGGUUUCAGGAUAUGGAAAAUUUUAAUAUGGCUCUCCUAGCCAAACAAGAUUGGCGCCUUAUAUCCAAUCCGGAAUCACUUCUUAUCUGUCUGUUAAAAGGGAAAUAUUACCCUUUCUCAUCUUUUUUGCAUCCUGGAAUUGGCAAAGCAUCUUGUGGAAUAGAAAAUUAUUGCAGAAAGGAAGAAUCUUGGGUUUCAUCUCUUUUUCCUCAUCCUCCCCAAGUUAAGCAGAAUGCAAAAGUUGUUUGGGUUUCUCAAUUGUGGGAUCGUGCCUUGCUAGAACGCCCAAACUUCUCUAGCAAAUUUCCACGAUGAUGUUAAACAGAUUAUGGCUAUUCCUAUCAAUCUAUUUCAGAGAGAAGACAAGCUGGCAUGGCAUUUUGAUUUCCAUUGCCAUUAUACAAUUCAGUCGGGUUAUAAGAUUGUACGUCAAUUUCAUUUGGCAAAAUACUCUCCCCAAUAUGAUGAUCCGGGUCCUCCUUCCUAAUUGCCUUAUUCUAUAUUUUGGAAGGAAUUUUGAAAGCGUCAAUUUCUGAGUAAAGUCAAAAUUUUCUUAUGGAAUUUAUUUAACCAAAGACUUCCCCGCAAUGAUCUUCUCGAUAAGCAUCUCCAGUACUUUGCUCCAGACUGUAAUUUCUAGGGGAAUAAAGAGACCUUGCACCAUCUGUUUUUAGAUUGCCUGAAAGCCAUAUCCAUAUGGAUUCACUUUCCCUUGCUGCUACGUUCAUCCUUGAUUGCUUACUCAUCCUUGAUUGACUAACUGGUUGGAAUUAAUGAGAACUCUCUCUAGCACUAUCCAGAUGGGGCGAAUCUUAUCAACUAGUAGGCUUUAUUCUUUGGCAAAAAUGGAAGUGCAAGAAUGCACUUGUUUUUAAUCAAGUUAAUCAGAAUUUCCACGAGGUUAUUGCUAUGGUACUCAAAAAUAAAAAAAGUUUCAAUGAGCUAUUUCUUUAGACAAUGUGCACGUCCAACAUCAGGCAUCCUGGAUCUGUUCAUCUCCCAAUUUCGUCAAAUUUAAUUUCGAUGCCGCUAUGGAUAAAACUCAUAAUAGGGGAUCGACUGCUGUUUUGGCUCGAGAAGAUGUUGGUCAAGUUGUGAACUAGUGCCGCAGCAUUUGGCCUUCAAUACAAGAUCCUUUGCUCCUAUAAAACAUCGCAUGUCGAGAAGCAGCAAAAUUAGCAUUAUCUCGAGAUUUUAAAAAGAUCAUUCUGGAGGGUCGGAAAUAAUUAUUGAUGCCUGGCAGAAUUUAAACUACCAAUGAUGUUCUAGAACUUUCUUCGAAUGCAGCCCAUAGUCAUGCCACAAAAGUUCCUUCAUAUUACCUAUUUUCAAUUAAUUGGAAAUUCAUAAAAAUAUUGGAGACACUUACUCAACUUUUUAUAACUCUGUAUUUUAAUUAAUUUAAUACUUAACCCUUCCAUCAUAGAGGGAAUUUUAAUUUUAUUCUUUUUCUUUAUUCAAUUAACAUGAAAUUCACAAAAACAUUCGGUUUCAUUCAAAUUCUGUCCUAAUGAAUGUGUUCUUUCUGAUUACUUGAUUAUUUUAUUUUGUUUUAU
rnacentral:misc_RNA from 1 species